rnacentral:rRNA from 1 species
AUGCCAAGAACCGGAGCGCGCGCCGGGCGCCACGCCCUCCUGCUCGCCGCUCUCGCGCUCUGCGCCGCGUGCGCGUGCGUGCCGGCAGCCCACGCGGGCGCGCUCCGGGCGUCGGCCAUCUCCGCGGCGCCGGAGCCGUCGCCGUACCCGCGCCACGGCGGCCGCCACGCGGACGCCCCCUCCGCGCUCCCGCCGUCGCUCUCGCUCUCCCCGGACAUAAUGCCGCUGCUCCCGUCCCCGGGCCCCGGCGACGACGCGCUGGCGCCGUCGGACGCGGCGGCCACCAUCCCGUCCAGCCCGAGCCCGCCCAACCCCGACGCGCUCGAGCCGGACUCCGCGUUCGCGCCCUUCGGCUCCGCCGCGCCCACCGCCGUCUCCGGGAUGCAGUCGUCCGCUCCGCCGCCACCCCGGGUGGCGUGGGCGGUGCUACCGGCCGUGGGGCUCGUGGCCGCCAUGUGGUUGGCGUAG